UUCUGCUAUAACAGUAAGAGGGUUCUAUAGCCCUGACGUCAGGUUUAGCACGUGGUAAAUUGAGUAAGAUCGAACACCAAUAAGAGAAAACAAGAGUGGUGGUUGGUGAAGCUCAAGAGAAGAUCGAAAAUAUUAAGUUUUGCGAUCCCUUUGGAACUUUGUGGAAGUGUCAUGUGUGUGAAAAAGUUCUAGCAACGAGCUCAGGUUUCAGGCGUCAUCUAAACAGCCAUUCAGGGCAUUAUAUAGAACAGACUUGUAACAUGUGUUUCAAGUCAUUCAGGUGGAAAGAAUCCUUGCUGCGGCACUUAAAAGCAGUCCAUAGCUUGCAACAGUGACUUCUAUGCUCUUUGUUUUAUUGUGCAGUUAAUGGCUGUGACUGUAAUAAAAGAAAUCUGAAAUUUAAAUAAAAUUUUACUUCUUAAAUUA